GCGUCAUAACUUGUAAAAGCUUUAUUGUAUGCACAUAGUAAAAUUGUGCCCAUUUUUGGGGUCAUUUAAUAACUGUGAAUACGUCACUACGGUCGUCUUGGGGAGAAUUAAUAGUUAUGUCGCACUACCGUGAUCAGAAUUCGAUAACUUUAGGUUCAGAUCGAGAGAGACGCUUGACUGUCGAGAGAAGAGAGUGUUGCAGAUGUCAUAACACAUGCUGUGUACUAUUGGGAGUCACCAUACUUCUGAGUAUUUCUGCAUCUAUACUGUCUGCAGUACUUUGUAUAAAGCUUGAUAUCAGUCUAUCCGAAAAUCAAGAUGAUGGAAAAAUUUGUUUUACAACCACUGACCUGAAACUCUCCCCAUUUCCAGACCAAGAAAGUGAAAUUGAAAAGUUAAGUAAAGAGGUGAAUGAUGAUCAAUUUAUGUAUUGUGCUAGCACUCCACAACAAAUGCAGAUAAUACUAAAUUGGGUUAUUGAUAACAAGACAAAAACUUAUGUGGAUAAAUAUUAUGACAAUCUCACGAAUAAUUUAUUGGAGGGAAAUGCGGUCAGUGCGCAUGUAUUAAUAGAUGCUCGUGAUGUAUCAAUAGCCAAUACAGCGAAACUGUUUAAAUCGAGGUCGCUGUCUCACUAUGAUGGAAUUAACAUAGGUCCACAUAAACUCGUUAUCAAAACUAAGGGGACCUACUUUUUGUAUAGUCAAAUUUAUUUCAAGCUUAUUCCCGGUACAAAUUACCAUCAGCCAAUGAACACAAAUUUUAAAUUAUCCCACCAAGUCGUCCGAUUUCGACAAUCGUGUCCGAAACAGACCGGUCAAGAGGAACUUCUUCGGAACGAGCAUCAAACACGCGUCAAGAAAGGUGAGGUCUACUUCAGCAGCAGCUUCGUUUCCGGUACUUUUGAAAUGAUUGCAGGAGAUGAGAUUGGCGUCAUGGUGACUAAUCUGAAUUACAUUGCGCGUACACCCGAAACAAAUUUCAUUGGCCUCUUUUUACUGGGAAAUAAUUCGUAAAUACAAUCAAAAUACAUUACAAAUUAAUAUGUGACCUAUGUAAGAAUCGUACAGGUUAAGUUGAAAUAUUUCUUUAUGCGUUUUAUAGAUAUUUGUAUCGGCCGAAAUGGAAUAUAUUAAUAUACUGCC